GACGAACCGUGCGAACGUUAUUCGGAAUCACUGGGCUUAAAGCGCGUGUAGGCGGGACGGCACGUCGGUCGCUGAAAGCCCCCCGGCUCAACCGGGGAAGUGGCGCCGAUACGACCGCCCUGGAGGGACGUAGGGGGACCUGGAACUUCCGGUGGAGCGGUGAAAUGCGUUGAGAUCGGAAGGAACGCCCGUGGCGAAAGCGAGGUCCUGGACGUUUACUGAACGGCUGAGACGCGAAAAGCCAGGGGAGCGAACGGG
rnacentral:rRNA from 1 species